UUUGACACGACAUUGCUCACAUUGCUUCCAGUGUAUUUAUAGCUUUUUGGCUGGUUUGUC
rnacentral:antisense_RNA from 1 species